AUUUCUCAUGACUGCUCUUCAUCCGGAAAUCGUACGAUACUUUUUCUUUCAAUUGAGCUGGAGUUGAAAUAGAAAAACGUCGAUUUGUUCUGAGCAAAACAAAAAAGAAACUCCGCAAAACAGGGAUCACAACAUGGCUGAACAAAAUACUCCGCAACAUUUACGUAGACACUGUUUUUAAUGGUGAUGACUAGCAAGGAGAAAUUUAAAAAUAGAAGCAAGGAAAGUUAAUCUCCGAUGUAUGCAGGAAUCGCCAGAUAAUUUUCGGUUUCAAAGAGUACCAUUUGGGGUAAAAAGCAGCUCAGUUCUACUGAACUUUCCGAUCAAGAACCAGAGAUUCUAUGAAACAUAUAUGAUGACAAUAUCUUCAAGGGCGGAAACAUGAUCUUUGGUGCAGCACUAAUGAUGGAAAUAAUCGUUAUUCAGACUAUUUUUUUAAAAAAUAAUUUGCAGAAGUAUAUGUUUCGUUUAUUUUUUUUUAAUCUUUCCGUUUAGUGGUUUAAGUAAUAUAUAAAUUUUUUUUUUCAGAAAGUUUUUUUGUAUUAUAGUAUUUGCAGAGUACACUUCUGGAUGACGGAUUGGUGUAGUUUCUGUCAAAAAGUAUAAUUUUUGAUAUAAAACAACUCCAAUUUUAAUUUUUAUCACAACUCAAACCUUUUUUUAUGAAAAUUCAAUUCUCUAAUAUUUAUUUCUUAUUUAUUAAAUUUUUUUCUA
ensembl:lincRNA linc-19 ncRNA